UCACACAAAAAUUGAUCAUUUGAAGGAAGAAAACAGAAGACUGAGUGCUGUAGCAGAGCAGGCUGAAUACUUUGCAUCAGUCGUUAAGAUGCUGACAGAAGAUGAUGAUAAGCAGGAUGAAGACAAAAACGAUGAAGAUGGAAAUGAAACGAAAGCAAAAGUAACUGAUAAUGAUGAUGGAGUUUUUGAAUUGGAAGCCGGAAUGAAGGACGACGUGAAGUCAGACUCUGAAAGCACUGAUACUGAUACAACCAGUGAUCCAUAAAUCUUUUGUGGUAUUGUAAAGCGUCAAGAAACUCAGGGAAAUUCAUGUACAUGGUCUUGUCAUAAAGAUUUGGAUGUAAAGUCCAGAUUUUUUUCCUGCAGAAACCUUUCUAAAAGGGGCAGUGAAAUUAAAGCAUGGUCACAAAUUUCGGCUGUUUUAUUUUUGUGUUCAGGGUCAAUUAGGGACUAGCACAGAAUAUUUCAAAGUCUCUGAACAUCUAAAAUCUUGUUUCAGAUGUAUUAUCCAAGUUAAUACUGCCACUUACUCAUUUUGAAAUUAUAGGAUAGAUUGAAACAGUAACUGACCUGCAAAAACAUAUCGUCUGUAUUUUUUAGCCAUUUUAAAUUCUGUGAUAUUUUUUUAUUUAUUGACUGAUUUCCCCCACGAGUGCCAUUUCACUCUCCUGAGGGUUAAAUUUCAGAAUCAUAUGGUCCAUUGAGACCAGUCAAACCUCUCCAAAGCUCAGUGAUCUUCACAUGGUCUAAGGCCGAGUGGGUGAAUUGAAUUGUUGGACAAUAUGUAUUGUAUGGCCAAAUACUGUCCAGUCUAAAAUGAUAAGUGUAGUGUAUGGCACAGAACAAAAGUGUCUUAUUUGCUUAUGUUUUUCUGUCGGCUUGUCUUAUGGUGUCCUUGUAAUGAGGAAAGUCAUGUUCAAAAUCACCAGACAAAUGUAGCUUGUCAAAAUGGUAAGCAAAAUUCGAGAUCUUGAAAAUGUAUUUCUUCUGUACGUAGAGCUGAACUGUUGGUCGACAUUUCACCAAGAUCUCAAUGCCACUUUUAAAUGUAUCCAAGGAGUGGACCUGAUUGAUAUUUUUAUAAUAAAUGUACAUAAUGAUAA